GACGAACGCUGGCGGCGUGCCUAAUACAUGCAAGUCGAACGAGAGCGACCGGUGCUUGCACUGGUCAAUCUAGUGGCGAACGGGUGAGUAACACGUGGGUAACCUGCCCAUCAGAGGGGGAUAACAUUCGGAAACGGAUGCUAAAACCGCAUAGGUCUUCGAACCGCAUGGUUUGAAGAGGAAAAGAGGCGCAAGCUUCUGCUGAUGGAUGGACCCGCGGUGCAUUAGCUAGUUGGUGAAGUAACGGCUCACCAAGGCCGUGAUGCAUAGCCGACCUGAGAGGGUGAUCGGCCACAUUGGGACUGAGACACGGCCCAAACUCCUACGGGAGGCAGCAGUAGGGAAUCUUCCGCAAUGGACGCAAGUCUGACGGAGCAACGCCGCGUGAGUGAAGAAGGUUUUCGGAUCGUAAAACUCUGUUGUUAGAGAAGAACAAGUGCUAGAGUAACUGUUAGCGCCUUGACGGUAUCUAACCAGAAAGCCACGGCUAACUACGUG
rnacentral:rRNA from 1 species